UUCCUCUCCUCCAGUACUCAUUCCCUUAUACUUUGGGAUUUCAAUCAACAACCUCAACUGCCCUGAUGCCUCCCGUCUGCUCUCUGUAGCCUCCUUUGGCCUCUCAAAAUAGUCUUAUUUAGAAACCCAUACAGCGAGAAACACUCUUGAUCACGGCUUCACCAAUCUCUGUACCGCCUCUAAUCUCUCCAAAGUGACAUUUCAUCUGCCCACCAUCUGCUGACCUUUGACAUCGACAUACCCCGUACCCAAAUUACACCCCCCUUCGGCACAUCUAUUUCACAGAAACCUGCACUGGUGGUUACCAACCCAGUCCUCAAGUACCCCCGAACCAUCCAGGAUUUAGGGAUUAGCCAGUUGUUAAUUAGUCUCUCAAAAGUCCACAUAUGUGUAGUUAAAACAUAACUUUUAUUGACCACUAUAAAUAAAAU